UACGGGGGGAGCAAGCGUUGUUCGGAUUUACUGGGCGUAAAGGGCGCGUAGGCGGCCACCGCAAGUCGACUGUGAAAUCUCCGAGCUUAACUCGGAAAGGUCAACUGAAACUGUGCGACUAGAGUGCGGAAGGGGCAACUGGAAUUCUUGGUGUAGCGGUGAAAUGCGUAGAGGUCGGGAAGAACAUCGGUGGCGAAGGCGGUCUGCUGGGCCGUUGCUGACGCUGAGGCGCGACAGCGUGGGGAGCAAACAGG
rnacentral:rRNA from 1 species